UAUCGGGUCCUGUGCAACAGUGACCUGUGAACCCCGUCAGAUCCGGAAGGAAGCAGCGGUAAGCAGACUUCUCUGUGUGCCAUAGGGGUGCCUGAUAAUG
rfam:Nitrospinae bacterium RIFCSPLOWO2_02_39_17 rifcsplowo2_02_sub10_scaffold_13027, whole genome shotgun sequence.